UCUGGCUGUGAUGACACACUUGCCCUCACUGCGAACUUUGUUUCUGUGAUGAGGACAAUAUAGUACUCAAAUCAAACUGAGCCUGA
rfam:Xenopus laevis strain J chromosome 2L, whole genome shotgun sequence.